rnacentral:lncRNA from 1 species
UUGGCCGUUUUCGGUCGAAUACGGCCAAACUUGCAUUGGUUCCUGCGAUAAAACAACCCUAGGGUCCUCGGUGGGCCAAAAAAUCACGAAAAACUGAGACUUACCGGCGACGAAGCUCUCGGGUGUGGCGGCUUCUCCGCCGUAAGUCGCGAUUUGAUGUUUUGCUCCGGUCAUCCUGUAGAGAAAAGGACGGUGAUCACAGUGGUGUAAAAAUUGCAUCAAAUGGGAAUCAGAAAGGGCCUCAUCGGAGGCAAAAAUCGAGGGAAGCCGCGGCGGCGCCGCUGGACUUCAGCGGUGUUUUUCGGCUAAUUAGCCGGUGGUUUAGCUCCAAUUUGGCUAUAUGC